CUAAGGUGGAUUGGUGUUGAUGUCAUUUCCAUGCUAAAAGUGAAGCUUUGUAAUGAUGCAUGUGAUGGUGGAUUGAUGACUCUUGAAUCUUCUUUUUAGCAUUUUUGAGUGAGACAUUAAGUUCUUUGUUUAACCAUGACCAAAAUUGAAAUGGUAUGGUGUUGUGAUGCAUUCGGCCAUGGUAGGAAGUAGAAGAGAAAUGUGGUUGUUGUUCACGUUAUUUAGAUGAGAAAUGGUAGUAAGGUGAAGUGAAAAUGUUAGUGUUUGAUUUACUAGUGUGUAUAUGUGUAUUAGCCGAGUUUUGAAUUUGAAACAAAAUGGUAUGUAGUCAAUACAAGUAACCAUAUUUGUAGGAAGUAUUAAGCAUAUACUCGGCCUCAACCUAGACAUGUAUAUUAGGCCACAUGAGAUAGGUUGGUGUUGCAUGUGUUCGGUUAGAGGCAAGCAUAUUGAUGCUUUUAUCUUGGCUUAGAUAAUCGGCUAAAAGAGAGUGUGGGCUAAAAUGUUGAGUUUGAUUCAUGAUUUCCAUAUAUAUAUGUGACUUUAAUGCCUAAUGUAUAUAUGGGAUAAGUACCUUGAGGUUCUCUUUUGAUGUUCAAAUGAAUUGUGUUAAAUUGCUUAAUGUGAUUAAAAAUGCGCAUGACCAUUGUGUAUUUGAGCUAAAAGGUGGCCAUAUGACCUAUCAAGCUCCUUGUCAUAUUCGGCCAUAAGCUAG
rnacentral:lncRNA from 1 species